rnacentral:rRNA from 1 species
AGUGAACGCUGGCGGUAGGCCUAACACAUGCAAGUCGAACGGCAGCACAGUAAGAGCUUGCUCUUACGGGUGGCGAGUGGCGGACGGGUGAGGAAUACAUCGGAAUCUACUUUUUCGUGGGGGAUAACGUAGGGAAACUUACGCUAAUACCGCUUACGACCUACGGGUGAAAGCAGGGGAUCUUCGGACCUUGCGCGAUUGAAUGAGCCGAUGUCGGAUUAGCUAGUUGGCGGGGUAAAGGCCCACCAAGGCGACGAUCCGUAGCUGGUCUGAGAGGAUGAUCAGCCACACUGGAACUGAGACACGGUCCAGACUCCUACGGGAGGCAGCAGUGGGGAAUAUUGGACAAUGGGCGCAAGCCUGAUCCAGCCAUACCGCGUGGGUGAAGAAGGCCUUCGGGUUGUAAAGCCCUUUUGUUGGGAAAGAAAAGCAGCAGGUUAAUACCCCGCUGCUCUGACGGUACCCAAAGAAUAAGCACCGGCUAACUUCGUG